rnacentral:rRNA from 1 species
UACAGAGGUCCCGAGCGUUGUUCGGAUUCACUGGGCGUAAAGGGUACGUAGGUGGCUGGGAAAGUUUGAUGUGAAAGCUCAGGGCUUAACCCUGAAAUGGCAUUGAAUACUGCCUGGCUGGAGGUUUGGAGGGGGGACUGGAAUUCUUGGUGUAGCAGUGAAAUGCGUAGAUAUCAAGAGGAACACCAGUGGCGAAGGCGAGUCCCUGGACAACACCUGACACUGAGGCACGAAAGCCGGGGGAGCAAACAGG